ensembl:snRNA U6 U6 spliceosomal RNA
GUGCUUGCUUUGGCAGCACAUAUACUAAAAUUGGAAAGAUACAGAGAAGAUUAGCAUGGUCCCGGUGCUAGGAUGACAUGCAAAUUCAUGAAGCAUCCCAUAAAAAA